UUAUCGUCUUUGACCUCGGAUCAGGUAGGGAUACCCGCUGAACUUAAGCAUAUCAAUAAGCGGAGGA
rnacentral:rRNA from 1 species